rnacentral:rRNA from 1 species
GUAGGUGGCAAGCAUUGUCCGGAAUUAUUGGGCGUAAAGCGCGCGCAGGCGGUUCUUUAAGUCUGAUGUGAAAGCCCACGGCUCAACCGUGGAGGGUCAUUGGAAACUGGAGAACUUGAGUACAGAAGAGGAAAGCGGAAUUCCACGUGUAGCGGUGAAAUGCGUAGAGAUGUGGAGGAACACCAGUGGCGAAGGCGGCUUUCUGGUCUGUAACUGACGCUGAGGCGCGAAAGCGUGGGGGAGCAAACAGGAUUAGAUACCCUGGUAGUCCACGCCGUAACGAUGAGUGCUAAGUGUUAGGGGGUUUCCGCCCCUUAGUGCUGCAGCUAACGCAUUAAGCACUCCGCCUGGGAGUACGGCCGCAAGGCUG